UUCACACAAUUUCUAUAAUCACAAACUUCCUCUGUCAAAACACAUACACAACUCUCAAUAAACAACAAUCAUAAUCUUCCAUCCAUAAUCAAUCUUUCAAUAAAUUCUCAUAUAAUUCAAUCACAAAAUAUUCCAAUUAUAUAAUCGAUAACUCAUAAAUCAAUCUCUGAUUUAUUCCACAAACUUACUUCUGAGUAUUCAGAAACUAUCCAUUACUCUUCAACAACAAAGAAACAAAGAGGUAGCACCAAGCUUACCCUUGCUCAUGACUAUCACAAUCUGGCCCUCAGACUAACUUUUAUAACUCCUAUAUACUUACUCUCUAUUCUCAAAUUCUAACCAAAAUAUUGUAAUUAACCGCUUUUAAUAACUAAGUUAACCAUCUGUGUUCCUGAACUAACUAUUCUAUGGAAUAUUA
rnacentral:lncRNA from 1 species